rnacentral:rRNA from 1 species
AGUCGAGCGGUAACAUUUCUAGCUUGCUAGAAGAUGACGAGCGGCGGACGGGUGAGUAACGCGUAGGAAUCUACCUAUUGGUGGGGGAUAGCCCAGGGAAACUUGGAUUAAUACCGCAUAAGCUCUUAGGAGGAAAGCGGGGGAUCUUCGGACCUCGUGCCAAUAGAUGAGCCUGCGUAAGAUUAGCUAGAUGGUGGGGUAAUGGCCUACCAUGGCGACGAUCUUUAGCUGGUCUGAGAGGAUGAUCAGCCACACUGGGACUGAGACACGGCCCAGACUCCUACGGGAGGCAGCAGUGGGGAAUAUUGCACAAUGGGCGCAAGCCUGAUGCAGCCAUGCCGCGUGUGUGAAGAAGGCCUUAGGGUUGUAAAGCACUUUCAGUGGGGAGGAAAGGUUAUAAGUUAAUACCUUAUAGCUGUGACGUUACCCACAGAAGAAGGACCGGCUAAUUCCGUGCCAGCAGCCGCGGUAAUACGGAAGGUCCGAGCGUUAAUCGGAAUUACUGGGCGUAAAGCGCACGUAGGCGGCUAGGUCAGUUGGGUGUGAAAGCCCCGGGCUCAACCUGGGAACUGCAUCCAAUACUGCCUGGCUAGAGUACGAGAGAGGGGGGUAGAAUUUCUAGUGUAGCGGUGAAAUGCGUA